AAUGUCUUCCUUUUAAUCUUAAAUGGUUUAACUGCCACCUAUCUCUUUACCAGAGGAACAAGUCCAACAGACCCCCCAGCAGUGACCUUCCCAUGUGCGCCGAGAACAAGCCUCCGUCAACCCUUUAACUACACACGCAGACAAUCAGUACCAACCAAUCACAUAGAGGCUGUCUGCACUUCAGGAGUGUGGAAGGUAAGAGGAAGAGGAGAUGAAGGAAGAAGACAUGCCUUAACACCAACCUAAAACCAACAUAAAACCACUCUAGCAUCAUCCUAACACCACCCUUACCCCGCGUAACACCACUCCCUCUGCAGUUGUCAAUCUCACCCUGUGUGUGUGUGUGUGUGUG
ensembl:lncRNA